UAUAGGGGGAGGCUGGUGAGAAUGGACUGAAGGGUGACACAGGAGAAAAGGGUGACCCUGGCUCUUCUGCAGCUGGAAUUAAGGGUGAACCUGGUGAAUCUGGGCGGCCUGGACAAAAGGUACUACUUGGAAAUGUUCAGUUUUCCUUUUCUGAUGGAUUUGUAAUAAACGAUGUUACAUCUGUGUUACCAGUGGCACUUAACUGCACGGGGAUGA
rnacentral:lncRNA from 1 species